GGCCCCUAGCGUGUUUAAGCAAAAAAGUUAGUAAAGUGUUAUCCACGAUAUAUCUGGAUUAAAUAAAUUAUUAUAAUGUUAUAUAAAA